UUCUUGAAUGGACUAGGUCUUGUUGUGGUAGAGCGGCCGGCUGGUAACUGACUAGUCGGGCGUAGGUUCGAAUCCUACUUGAAAAGC
rnacentral:tRNA from 1 species